rnacentral:rRNA from 1 species
AUUGAACGCUGGCGGCAGGCCUAACACAUGCAAGUCGAGCGGCAGCGACUUAACUGAACCUUCGGGGAACGUUAAGGGCGGCGAGCGGCGGACGGGUGAGUAAUGCCUGGGAAUAUACCCUGAUGUGGGGGAUAACUAUUGGAAACGAUAGCUAAUACCGCAUAAUCUCUUCGGAGCAAAGAGGGGGACCUUCGGGCCUCUCGCGUCAGGAUUAGCCCAGGUGGGAUUAGCUUGUUGGUGAGGUAAUGGCUCACCAAGGCGACGAUCCCUAGCUGGUCUGAGAGGAUGAUCAGCCACACUGGAACUGAGACACGGUCCAGACUCCUACGGGAGGCAGCAGUGGGGAAUAUUGCACAAUGGGGGAAACCCUGAUGCAGCCAUGCCGCGUGUGUGAAGAAGGCCUUCGGGUUGUAAAGCACUUUCAGUAGGGAGGAAGGUAGUGUAGUUAACACCUGCAUUAUUUGACGUUACCUACAGAAGAAGCACCGGCUAACUCCGUGCCAGCAGCCGCGGUAAUACGGAGGGUGCGAGCGUUAAUCGGAAUUACUGGGCGUAAAGCGCAUGCAGGCGGCCUGUUAAGUCAGAUGUGAAAGCCCGGGGCUUAACCUCGGAAUUGCAUUUGAAACUGGCAGGCUAGAGUCUUGUAGAGGGGGGUAGAAUUUCAGGUGUAGCGGUGAAAUGCGUAGAGAUCUGAAGGAAUACCAGUGGCGAAGGCGGCCCCCUGGACAAAGACUGACGCUCAGAUGCGAAAGCGUGGGGAGCAAACAGG